rnacentral:rRNA from 1 species
GAUAGAGUUUGAUCUUGCUCAGAUUGAAUCGCUGGCGGCAGCUAACACAUGCAAGUCGAGCGGUAGAGAGAAGCUUGCUUCUCUUGAGAGCGGCGGACGGGUGAGUAAUGCCUAGGAAUCUGCCUGGUAGUGGGGGAUAACGUUCGGAAACGGACGCUAAUACCGCAUACGUCUACGGGAGAAAGCAGGGGACUUUCGGGCCCUUGCGCUAUCAGAUGAGCUAGGUCGGAUUUAGCUAGUUGGUGAGGUAAUGGCUCACCAAGGCGACGAUCCGUAACUGGUCUGAGAGGAUGAUCAGUCACACUGGAACUGAGACACGGUCCAGACUCCUACGGGAGGCAGCAGUGGGGAAUAUUGGACAAUGGGCGAAAGCCUGAUCCAGCCAUGCCGCGUGUGUGAAGAAGGUCUUCGGAUUGUAAAGCACUUUAAGUUGGGAGGAAGGGCAGUUACCUAAUACGUGAUUGUUUUGACGUUACCGACAGAAUAAGCACCGGCUAACUCUGUGCCAGCAGCCGCGGUAAUACAGAGGGUGCAAGCGUUAAUCGGAAUUACUGGGCGUAAAGCGCGCGUAGGUGGUUAGUUAAGUUGGAUGUGAAAUCCCCGGGCUCAACCUGGAAACUGCAUUCAAAACUGACUGACUAGAGUAUGGUAGAGGGUGGUGGAAUUUCCUGUGUAGCGGUGAAAUGCGUAGAUAUAGGAAGGAACACCAGUGGCGAAGGCGACCACCUGGACUGAUACUGACACUGAGGUGCGAAAGCGUGGGGAGCGAAACAGGAUUAGAUACCCUGGUAGUCCACGCCGUAAACGAUGUCAACUAGCCGUUGGGAGCCUUGAGCUCUUAGUGGCGCAGCUAACGCAUUAAGUUGACCGCCUGGGGAGUACGGCCGCAAG